GAGAGGAGCUGAGCAAGGAAACCCAACCCUUUUAAAGAAGAUCUACACAGAGCUCUGCAUUACAGAGGGUGAAAGUGGCGAGGUCAACAUCAAGUGAGACAGCAUCAAAGAAACCAGCGACACAGUGAACUACCAAGAGAACAGUAAACUGGAAUGUCCUGAAGAUCUCCAUGACAUCGGCAAUGGGAGAUAGUCAUCUUCAUUCUGCUCCCGACCAUUAUAAUGAAUCAGAGUGUCUGUUAAGGAUCCAAUUCUCAUAGAUGACGUGAGAUUACAUGGAACCACUUGUCUCGUAUUGAGCCUAUUCUGAAGCAGCAUCAUGGCAUCCAUAUUGUAACAUCAAAAGAGAGAUUGAUAGUAGGAAGACCUGAUGAAACCAUGUGUGUCAUACGAUUUGAGAGGAUCAAAUGGUAGCGGUCACAUGUUUCACUGUAAAACGUUCGACGCAUAGUUUACAGAUGGUGUAAAUCUUCCAACUCUAUUCCAAGGAUAUCUUCCAAUAUCUGCGUAAAGAGUGGCUGCUGUUUAAGUAGGAACUUUAAUCAGAAUUAACGUCAGCUCUCAGAACUCGCUGAACUUUUUGGAUGAAUCAUUCUCGACAGUUAGGAGUCACCAAGUUCAUCGUGAAUGAAUCCACUGCACUGAGAACACAUGCACACAAAUACACACUCAGCCCUCCCUGCUUGAGCUUGGGCCAGUGACGGUGGGGGUCUGUAUCUGGGCAGUCUGAUCUAAAUAGGGUCAGCCACCCCACGGAGAUGCUGUGGCUCAAUACUAAAAGUGAGAUACUGUACAGUAGCAUCCUGUUUAGUCCGUACCAUUAACCCUAACUGCAUGGCCUCUAACAUGGCUCUAAAUGCUAUAGUGUUGCCUUCCUCUGUGUGAUUGUAAUACAGCCCAUGUUUUUUAGAAAUAUUUCCACACUAUGAAGUUGGAAUAAUACUGUGAAAUUGUGAAAAUUAUGAUAAUGCCCUUUUAGCGUAGGAGCUUUUCAGUCUGUUGUGGUGGGAUGAAGUUCUUGCAUGCCUGGUGGCGUUAAAUGAGUUAAUAGACCAAUAAGAAAGGACGUUACAAACCUCUCUGCCAAUAUCAGAUCAUUUUCAGGUUUCCCCUCCCCACACCCAGACAGUCCUAGUUAAAUUCUUACUUUAGAAAUUGCCCUUUGCUAAGAUGCUAUUUUUGUUUCUUUUUGAUCAUUUUAAUUCAGAAAUGAUUUGAUUUUGAGAUAAAUUUUAAAAAAUGGCUGCAUUCAGCCUGUAAUGUUACCCCAGCUACUGUAAGACCUGACCUGAGGUUGGGUAAGGACUUUCUGUUAAGUGGGUUUCCCAUAGAAUGGGCAAGUAAGUCUUAGAAAGGACAGGACAGACCUGCUUGGCUUUGAAUGAGAAUGACUAUUUGAUGGGGCCACAGUGUCUCCUGACCCCUCCUGUCUCAGCCUCCAGUAUUUAUGCUGCAGUAGUUUGUGUCGGGGGGCUGGGGUCAGUUUGUUAUAUCUGGAGUACUUCUCCUGUCCUAUUCGGUGUCCUGUGUGAAUCUAAGUGUGCGUUCUCUAAUUCUCUCCUUCUUUCUUUCUCUCUCUCGGAGGACCUGAGCCCUAGGACCAUGCCCCAGGACUACCUGACAUGAUGGCUCCUUGCUGUCCCCAGUCCACCUGGCCAUAUCUGCUGCUCCAGUUUCAACUGACCUGAGCCCUAGGACCAUGCCCCAGGACUACCUGACAUGAUGACUCCUUGCUGUCCCCAGUCCACCUGGCCAUGCUGCUGCUCCAGUUUCAACUGUUCUGCCUUACUAUUAUUUGACCAUGCUGGUCAUUUAUGAACAUUUGAACAUCUUGGCCAUGUUCUGUUAUAAUCUCCACCCGCACAGCCAGAAGAGGACUGGCCACCCCACAUAUGCUCUCUCUAAUUCUCUCUUUCUUUCUCUCUCUCGGAGGACCUGAGCCCAAGGACCGUGCCCCAGGACGACCUGACAUGAUGACUCCUUGCUGUCCCCAGUCCACCUGACUGUGCUGCUGCUCCAGUUUCAACUGUUCUGCCUUGUUAUUAUUCGACCAUGCUGGUCAUUUAUGAACAUUUGAACAUCUUGGCCAUGUUCUGUUAUAAUCUCCACCCGGCACAGCCAGAAGAGGACUGGCCACCCCACAUAGCCUGGUUCCUCUCUAAGUUUCUUCCUAGGUUUGGGCUUUUCUAGGGAGUUUUUCCUAGCCACCGUGCUUCUACACCUGCAUUGCUUGCUGUUUGGGGUUUUAGGCUGGGUUUCUGUACAGCACUUUGAGAUAUCCGCUGAUGUACGAAGGGCUAUAUAAAUCAAAUUUGAUUGAUUACACAGAUUUUGAUUGAUCUACAUUGGAAUUCAGAUGUAUUCAUGAUGUUUAUGCUCUUCCUGAGUACUUGCAUGCGGGAACUUUGCAUGUAGAGGGCAGUCCCAGGCUCCCAGACCUUGUUCUAUCCUUCAUUAGUUUUCAUGGUGAUGUGGGUUGACAUUUAAACUUAUCACAGCGGACCCCGGAGCAGCACUUCCCCUCGAUAACCACAGUAACAGGGUAAUUUGUUUUAAUCAGAAAGAAUUGGUUUAGAAACCCCAGCAGACCAGGGCCCUAUCGCCUACUCAGAAAAACACCUUCAAGGACGUAGAAGGACAACAGAGUGAAGGACAACAGGAAUGAACACAUGCAAGUGCACACACAGAUACAAACACACACACGCUCACUCACACACACAUACACACAAACACACUCACACACACAUACACACAAACACACUCAUGCACUCAUACACACAACAGUUAAGGAUGCUCCCUCUCUGAAAGGACAAUAUGUAUAUGUGUGUGAGCUUGUGUUUGAGCUUGUGUUUGUGUUACCCAUAAAGAUUGAGUGUUGUCAUUUUUCUUUGUUUUUCUGAUCUUACGUACUCUUGUUCAAAACUAAAACAAAUACAGUCCUCAAAGUGAGCAACAUAA